UACGUAGGGGGCAAGCGUUGUCCGGAAUCAUUGGGCGUAAAGAGCGUGUAGGCGGCCCGGUAAGUCCGCUGUGAAAGUCCAGGGCUCAACCCUGGGAUGCCGGUGGAUACUGUCGGGCUCGAGUCCGGAAGAGGAGUGUGGAAUUCCUGGUGUAGCGGUGAAAUGCGCAGAUAUCAGGAGGAACACCAAUGGCGAAGGCAGCACUCUGGGACGUGACUGACGCUGAGACGCGAAAGCGUGGGAAGCAAACAGG
rnacentral:rRNA from 1 species